rnacentral:rRNA from 1 species
UUUUUAUGAGAGUUUGAUCCUGGCUCAGGACGAACGCUGGCGGCGUGCCUAAUACAUGCAAGUCGAACGCUUCUUUUUCCACCGGAGCUUGCUCCACCGGAAAAAGAAGAGUGGCGAACGGGAUGAGUAACACGUGGGUAACCUGCCCAUCAGAAGGGGAUAACACUUGGAAACAGGUGCUAAUACCGUAUAACAAUCGAAACCG